rnacentral:tRNA from 1 species
GUUGUGGCUCAGUGGUAGAGCGCUUGCCUAACACACCUGAGACACUGGGUUUGAUUUCCAGCACCACA